AGUCUGGGUCUGAGCUGAAACCUGCUGCAAGUCUGACGGUACCAAAUUACAUAUAUAUCUGUCAAAAUGAUGUAGGACCUAAAGUCUCUCUGUAAGUUGAUCCUUUUGACCCCAUGAUUAGGAGCUUCACAAUGUGGUACCACACCUGGAAACCUCCAGAACAAGAUCUCAAGGAAACACAGGAAAUUCCUGAAACAGCAAAACCCCCUAUGUGAAGACGUCUGUUAUUCCUUUGUGUAUCAGGAGCAUCACUGUUAAUUAACUGUUGAUACACUUAAAACAGCUUGGUUGGCAAUGUCCUUUUUGAAUAAAGAAGAGCCAGGUGUGUUUUUCAGGAUGAACUAGACAAUGCUGUCACAAGUUUACCUCUACAUCUUAUUGCCUUGGAAAAAUUUCCUGCAUAUCGUGGCACAAGAUGGUUGGCUCUCCAGGCAGCAGUUGGCGUUGUGAAUCAGUCAUCUCAGCAUGUGUCUCCAAGAUCCCACAGCAGGGGGAAAAAGAGGUGGAGGGUCACAUGCCUGGUGUUACAUACUUUGAGGCAGAGGUGGUAGGUGCCAUUUCUGCUCACAGCUCAUGGACCAGAACAAAGCCAUGCAUACCUGAGAGAGGACCAGAAAAUAUUCUGAAGCAGAUGGCUAUUUGGUGAGCAGUAAAUGUUUC
rnacentral:lncRNA from 1 species